rnacentral:rRNA from 1 species
UGGGGAAUAUUGGACAAUGGGCGCAAGCCUGAUCCAGCCAUGCCGCGUGAGUGAAGAAGGCCCUCGGGUUGUAAAGCUCUUUUGUCCGGAAAGAAAAGCUUUCGGCUAAUACCCGGAAGUCCUGACGGUACCGGAAGAAUAAGCACCGGCUAACUUCGUGCCAGCAGCCGCGGUAAUACGAAGGGUGCAAGCGUUACUCGGAAUUACUGGGCGUAAAGCGUGCGUAGGUGGUUCGUUAAGUCUGAUGUGAAAGCCCUGGGCUCAACCUGGGAAUUGCAUUGGAUACUGGCGAGCUAGAGUGCGGUAGAGGAUGGCGGAAUUCCCGGUGUAGCAGUGAAAUGCGUAGAGAUCGGGAGGAACAUCCGUGGCGAAGGCGGCCAUCUGGACCAGCACUGACACUGAGGCACGAAAGCGUGGGGAGCAAACAGG